GUAGAUAGAGGCGCGUUUUUUAUCAGUCGCUGCGGAACAGAACGCGGAGGUUCGCCAAAGCCGCAGUAAAAGGAAAAAACGCCGAAGGCCGUGCGUUUCCGCCCGUAUGUGCCUGGGGACGCGGUUAACAGCCGUGUCACUGUCAUCCGUCACGGUCGGAUGGGGAGCUAUC
rnacentral:ncRNA from 1 species